rnacentral:rRNA from 1 species
GUUGUGCGGUUAAGCGACUAAGCGUACACGGUGGAUGCCCUGGCAGUUAGAGGCGUUGAAGGACGUGCUAAUCUGCGA